ACCUGAAAAGAUGGUUGACCAUAGAACAUGCGCUGUCUCUGUGUCGUAUGUAAUAUGGUCCACGUCUUCUCAAUAUC
rnacentral:miRNA from 1 species